ACUUUAACUAUCCUAAGUUAACCCCUAAUUCAAACGUUUGUUUAAAUUGUUAUGUAUGUGUGGACACAUGUAGGCUAGGCUCAGGCUAUGCUGUAAGGUUCAUUUUGGAUGAGGAAACAUGUAACAGGAUAUUAAGGUGUGACAGGAUAUCAGGACAGGCAUGUUUUCUUACCUAGUAGCCUAUGUAAAAUGUUGGUCUUAUAAGUGAUUUAAUUACAAAGGAAUUUUAAGUGUCAGUAGGCCUACUUUAUUUCCACAUUGUUUACAAUUAAUAAUUAAUUUGGCAGAUAGUGUUACUGCUGUUCACCAGAAAUAUGUGGACUGCAGCUGGAGAGGUGCCUGUUCAGCUCCUGGGCACUGCCAAGGUGCCCUUGAGCAAGGCAUCGAACCCAUUAGUGCAUGUAUAGAUCCUGGUCCAUGUGUGUGUGGAUUUUCGGGCCUGUGUGUACAACACACAGACAACACACAGGCCUCUGUUGUCACUCUGUGACAACAGAGUGAAAAAAUUUAAUUUCCUCUUGCGGGAUCAGUAAAGUAUGUCUUAAUCUUAAAAUCAGUUUUCUCACUUAUUGAUAGUAUGUAUACACUCAGUUGCCAGUUUAUUAGGGUUACCAAGCUUAAACUAAUUUAAUUCAUUCAUAUCAAAUUAAAAUGUCUAUCUAUAGUGCAGAAUAGAAUAGGCUACAGUUCAACAGCAGUGCAAAC